rnacentral:lncRNA from 1 species
AGAGGAAGGCUUACCUCAGACCCGAACCCCCUAUGAUUGUUUCCACUUGAAGAGACUGAUUUGCGCCCAUAAGUACUAGACUUAGAUAAAGGAAUAGGGAGGCGGAGAUAUUUAAUACUUGAAGCGUAAUCGUAAAAAGAUAAUAAAAACAUACUACUUGAAAGCGCCUAUUAAACAAGAGGGUAUCGAUUAAAGGACGCAUACAAGACUUAUUCCAGACCUUAUUCCUUCGCAUGCUUCUAAGGCUCGAACUCGUCACUAAGUACGAGAGCUCUAAUGUCAUGUCAAACCUGAAAGCGGAUGCGAGAAAGAUGUAAAAAAUCUGCUUAGGGUCAGAUUGGACUUUAUCUUCUUGCCCUGCUUGCCACCACAAAACCUGAUAGCGGACGCGAGAAAGAUGUCAAAAAUCUGCUUAGGGUCAGAUUGGACUUUAUCUUCUUGCCGUGCUUGCCGCCACUCUGAAAGCCUGAGUCGCAGCUCUCUAAGUCAUUCCAAAAUAAGUUAGGGGUAGGGGUCUAGCUCAGCUCUAAGCCUAGGAUAGGACCUUCUCCAGGAAACAACUUCUUUCUAUUUUAGUAUAACGGAGUCUCAGUAAACCGUUCUAAAGCCCACCCUCUAGCCCGUCAGGCUUUCCCAGACUCAUCUCGCCGGCGAAAUUCUAUUAUCUGUCCUACCUCCUAUGAGCCCUAAGCAGACCAAGCUUCCUUAGCGUACUGAGCCUACCUAUUCAAGAGAACAGAGCCUCAAACUCAUCUCGCCGGCAAAAUUCUAUUAUUUUGUCGUACCUCCUAUGAGCCCUAAGCAGACCAAGCUUCCUUAGCGUACCGAGCCUACCUAUUCAAGAGAACAGAGCCUAGCUACAAUGGUAUUUAUUCUCUUUUCAAGGGAGAUCCUUUAUAGAGGUUGUCCAUCUACGAAUUAGUGAUCCAACUGGGCAUCUUACAUAUGAAUUCGUGCUCCAAGUAUGGGCUCUUCCCUCUCUCCAUAAAGGAAGAAGAAGGCAAGACUAAGUCAUUUAGUUGUUUUCUAUUUCCAUCCUGCCUUCACCAUGCCUACCCUGUAAAAAGAUUCUCCAACUUAUGAUCUUUAAGUUUCGGAUGUGAAGGCUUAGGCUUCCAUAUUUGUUCUAGGUUUUCUUUAUUCGCUGGGGCACUCUGUUCCUUCCUGUUCCCAGAGCUGAGGCAUUGUAGUGCAGCUGCUGCUGAAGGAUACUUUGUUUGGGAAGACGUGCUCUUGUUGUUUUUUUGCUGCUGCGGCCUCAAUACGAUUCUGGCUAUCCUCUCUUUUCUUUUGCGUGCGGGCCGUGAUGUAUUUAUCCUUUCUAUCUUUCUUGCUCUAUCGAUUUUUUUGAGGGCCUCCCGGACCCCAUUGUCAAUAGUUCUCUUUAGCGGGACGUAUGUCUCGGCUAAUGCUUUUGAUUAAAAUAAAAGCACCUGCUCUUUCGACAUCUCUUUCGCUUGUCCAGUAAUCUCUUCUUUCUCAAAAAAGAAAAAGUAGGAACCCGGUCUUGACGCCCCUAAAAAAUAGCAAUAGCUCGAAUCCUAAGCUACGGCACGCAAAGGAAUGGUUCCAUGAAUCAUGGGCGGAUCAUAACAGAUUUUCCAUCAGAGGACUACUACGACUACAUCACGUCGAGGCGCCCCGGUCUGAACAUGCCAGGUUGGUUGACAAACCCAUGGGCAAAGCCAGGGGGGAGGGGGCAGCCGGAAAGGAUAGUUCCUGUGGUUCGUAUGCCUACUUGACGAAAGGGAAUGAACAACCAUUCAUUUCCGGGUUUAUGGAUUGGAUUCAGUCAGCCUCACGACAUAAUCAGAGUGAGGCUUUGGUUACCGGCAAACGCUUCUCCAAAGGCGACCCUCUCGAGUUUCCGGCUGUUUCCGUCAUUGAAGUAGCCUUUCGUCGCCCUACCAAAGGAAAGAAGUCACUAUCAAACAGCUCGCCCUAUUGAAGUACCAAAGGUGCGCUCAGCCCGGUGACUAGGAAAUGUAAAGGCGACCCUCUCCAGUUUCCGGCUAUUUCCGUCAUUGAAGCAGCCUUUCGUCGCCCUACCAAACGAAAGAAGUCACUAUCAAAUAGCUCGCGCUAUUGAAGUACCUAAGAUGCGCUCAGCCUGGUGACUAGGAAAUGGGUUUGCCCUUGAAUUGAAGUGAUGAGGUCGGAAAGAGGGAAGUAGGGCUCCUAUUGACUAAAGGUUGGUUCUUCGCUUUCCUUUAGAAUGAAAGUUGCUAUGAAGCCCCUACUACUUACUAGGUUGGUUCUUCGCUUCCUUUAGAAUGAAAGUUGCUAUGAAGCCCCUACUACUUACUUUGUUGAUUCAAAAGGCCAACAGCCCCCCAACUAGUUGAAUGGGGUGGGAUGCUUGUGAAAAGCUGCUUUGGAUAUGAGUAAUUCCUAAUAAAAGGGAAAGUCCGGUUUUUGACGAAGAUCUUUCUAUCAAUAGAUAGGAAUGAGUGUUCGAUAUAGGGGAUAGGAUCCAUCUGCUCUUUAUCUCACAAUUUUUUUUGUGAUAAAUAUAUAUAUAUCGUUUAUCUAUCUCUUGUCUAUCUAUCAUUGAUUCUCAAGUCAAAAUACUUCGAUUUUGGGUUCCUCGAAGCCCCGAAUGGAAUGGAUCGUUUCUGCCGACGAAAUGAACGCGGAGCCCGUUCAGAAUCCUUCUACGAUCCGGAAGUUCUCGCGAAGAGAAUAAGAUGCUGCUCCCCUUCCCUCUUUCUUUUCCCGCUUUGCUAAUCUUCCCCUCUAACGCGGGCCGGGCGGCGACGGGCGCGGGAGGAAGAAACCUAAGAGAAGACGCUCGUCUCUUAGGUCCUUUUUUUCAGUGCAACACAGGAAAGCGCCCUCUUUUUGUCAUCCCUGCAGCUUUCCAGAUUUUGUAUUGAACGCAUGGCGUAGCUAGGACCCUUCAAAUUCUGUUUGAGCCUAUGUUCAAGCCAAACCCACCCCCUAUUUUACCUUUGCUAAUCUUCCCCUCUAACGUGGGCCGGGCGGCGAGGGGCGCAGGAGGAAGAAACCUAAGAGAAGACGCUCGUCUCUUAGGUCCUUUUUUUCAGUGCAACACAGGAAAGCGCCCUCUUUUUGUCAUCCCUGCAGCUUUCCAGAUUUUGUAUUGAACGCAUGGCGUAGCUAGGACCCUUCAAAUUCUGUUUGAGCCUAUGUUCAAGCCAAACCCACCCCCUAUUUUACUAAGGCUGGAAAGAAUGCCCACCAAGUUCAGAUAAGGGAAUGCUUUCCCCAACCAUUAAAGGAAAGGCUCGACGAAGGGAGGGAGGUGCGGCGGGGGAAGGAAAACGCUUUCGGAGAUCGAGAUUUUUUUUUCAUCGAAAACGAAGAAGGCCGAGGAUGGCCUACGGUGCGUCUUAUCUGAAGGGAACUUUUGUUAUCCCUGCAGCUUUCCAGAUUUUGUAUUGAAUAGCUAGGACCCUUCAAAUUCUUUUUGAGCCUAUGUUCAAGCCAAACCCACCCCCUAUUUUACUAAGGCUGGAAAGAAUGCCCACCAAGUUCAGAUAAGGGAAUGCUUUCCCCAACCAUUAAAGGAAAGGCUCGACGAAGGGAGGGAGGUGCGGCGGGGGAAGGAAAACGCUUUCGGAGAUCGAGAUUUUUUUUUCAUCGAAAACGAAGAAGGCCGAGGAUGGCCUACGGUGCGAAAAGGCUCGACGAAGGGAAGGAGGUGCGGUGUGUGAAGGAAAACGCUUUCGGAGAUCGAGAUUUGUUUUUCAUCGAAAACGAAGAAGGCCGAGGAUGGCCUACGGUGCAUCUUAUCUGUAGGGAACACGCUUUUUUGACCGUCCUGGUAUGAUUGCUGGGCCCUCUCCUCGUUCCGCCCUUCCUAUUGGGAUAGCUGCCUUCGGGCUUUGCCUGCCCUUUAUAAUAAAAAAUUCCGGCUCUGCCCGGGAAAGCGCUGGCAACAACAGAAAGGAAGGGGUCCAUGUAGCUCCUGUGACCGCCCCCUUCUUAGUCAAUGGGGCACAGCAGGUUCAUCAUCUACUACAAAAGAGAGAAUCCACUUCAGAUAACCACGUCUCUGCUAGAAUAAAAAGUUCCGGCUCGGCCCGAGAAGGCGCUGGCAACAAUAGAAAGGAAGGGGUCAAUGUAACUGCUGUGUCCGCCCCCUUCUUAGUCCAUGGGGCACAGCAGGUUCGGCAUCUACUACAAAAGAGAAAAUCCACUUCAGAUAACCACGUCUCUGCUAGGCAGCGUGUGGAAUGGCCGAGAGCGGACCUUUUAGGAUAUAUAAUCCAAGUCGAGAGUAGAGUUACAGGAAAAGCCGUAUGAUGGAAAACUACUUUCACGUUUGGUUCAGAGAGCACUUUUUUCGUUGAGAAUUCCUCGUUCCCUUUCGUGUGAAUUCCCCAGCGGCAAAUUCAAAACUUGUGGGGCCCUAUCUAUUCCAUCUCUCGAGCCCCGAAGAAAUCCGAGAGCGGACCUUUUUGGAUAUAUAAUCCAAGUCGAGAGUAGAGUUACAGGAAAUGCCGUCUAAUGGAAAACUACUUUCCCGUUCGGUUCAGAGAUCACUUUUUUCGUUGAGAAUUCCUCGUUCCCUUUCGUGUGAAUUCCCCAGCGGCGAAUUCAAAACUUGUGGGGCCCUAUCUAUUCCAUCUCUCGAGCCCCGAAGAAAACCCCCUACCCUUCGGACUCCAUAUAUCUUUUGACUCUAUAUAUGUGGGCACCUGAUAUCUAUGAGGGUUCACCCACCCCGGUUACAGCAUUCCUUUCUAUUGCGCCUAAAAUCUCUAUUUCUGCUAAUAUUUCACGUGUUUCUAUUUAUGGUUCUUAUGGAGCUACAUUGCAACAAAUCUUCUUUUUCUGCAGCAUUGCUUCUAUGAUCUUAGGAGCACUGGCCGCCAUGGCCCAAACGAAAGUAAAAAGACUUCUAGCUCAUAGUUCAAUUGGAUUUGUGGUGCCCUAUCUAUUCCAUCUCUCGAGCCCCGAAGAAAACCCCCUACCCUACGGACUCCAUAUAUCUUUUGACUCUAUAUAUGUGGGCACCUGAUAUCUAUGAGGGUUCACCCANNNNNNNNNNNNNNNNNNNNNNNNNNNNNNNNNNNNNNNNNNNNNNNNNNNNNNNNNNNNNNNNNNNNNNNNNNNNNNNNNNNNNNNNNNNNNNNNNNNNNNNNNNNNNNNNNNNNNNNNNNNNNNNNNNNNNNNNNNNNNNNNNNNNNNNNNNNNNNNNNNNNNNNNNNNNNNNNNUAGCCUCACCCACCCCGGUUACAGCAUUCCUUUCUAUUGCACCUAAAAUCUCUAUUUCUGCUAAUAUUUCACGUGUUUCUAUAUAUGGUUCUUAUGGAGCUACAUUGCAAC